rnacentral:rRNA from 1 species
CUAGCGACUUCAGAGUUUGAUCCUGGCUCAGGAGAACGCUGGCGGCGUGCUUAACACAUGCAAGUCAACGGGGAUACAUUGGAUGAGAGCUUCGGCAGGAAUCGGAUGUAUUCGAGUGGCGGACGGGUGAGUAACGCGUGAACAAUCUGUCCCAGACAGGGGGAUAACACUUGGAAACAGGUGCUAAUACCGCAUAAGACCACGUUUUCGCAUGGGGAUGAGGUAAAACGAGCAAUCGGGUUUGGGGUGAGUUCGCGUCCGAUUAGAUAGUUGGUGAGGUAACGGCCCACCAAGUCGACGAUCGGUAGCCGACCUGAGAGGGUGAUCGGCCGCAUUGGAACUGAGAGACGGUCCAA